rnacentral:tRNA from 1 species
GGGAGAGUUCCCGAGUGGCCAAAGGGGGCAGACUGUAAAUCUGUUGGUUGUACCUUCGGUGGUUCGAAUCCUCCCUCUCCCACCA